UACGUAGGGGGCGAGCGUUGUCCGGAAUGACUGGGCGUAAAGCGCGCGCAGGCGGCCGCGCAAGACUGGUGUGAAAUCUCCGCGCUCACCGCGGAGGGUGCGCUGGUGACUGUGUGGCUGGAGUCGGGGAGAGGCAGGGGGAAUUCCCGGUGGAGCGGUGAAAUGCGUAGAUAUCGGGAGGAACACCGGUGGCGGAGGCGCCCUGCUGGCCCAGGACUGACGCUGAGGCGCGAAAGCGUGGGGAGCGAACCGG
rnacentral:rRNA from 1 species